AACAUUCAGACACUGAAACUCCUGGUAUUUUUCAAGUAGCGAACGGCCCUCACUGUUUUCUCCAUAAAUGAAGUAAAGUCUCGGAGGAUGAGCUGCGUAUCCACCCUUUCUGUGCUGCGGACGACAGACCCCCCUGGGACCUGUGCUUCCUUACAGCCCUGCUUCUGCAGUGGGGUUUGAGGCAAUUAGGCAUGUGGGAGACCAAGUGUCACCAACUUUCACUGAUGCGUGGGAUCCUAACUGCAAGAUGAGUAAAAGGAGUUAUGUACCUAAUGCUGACUGACAGCACUGGGCACCUGGUACCCAAAUGCCUUUUAAAAACUUCUCCUAUGAAGUGGGUACGUCUGAAACGUAUAAAGCCCGCUGGAGAUUUUCCUCAAGCAUUUAUCCUGAAAUGAGAGAAAGGUGAGAAAGUUACGUACAGCUCAAAUGCCUCAGUCGCGAUAUUGCGGGUGCGGUGCAGGUAAGCGGGUAACGCUUAUGCAGAGUGUGGGGGUCUGUGCCAUGCCAAAGCCAGCUGGAGCCGGCACAGAUCUCCAGGUCGACUUCCACGUUUUUUUGGAGCAGGUGAAAAUUGCCCCAGGUAGGUAAGGUUAGAGCAGGAAGGAGAGGGGUUCCUUGCCU